AAACAGACAUUCCUAAUUGAAUUCCCUUCACUUGCUUUCGGAAGUCCAGUCGUCGUCACCAUGAGAGCCAAGUGGAAGAAGAAGAGAAUGAGGAGGUUGAAGAGGAAGCGCCGAAAGAUGAGACAACGAUCCAAGUAGAUGAUGAUGCUUUCAUGUCGGUGUUGAUUUACCCUUUUCGUUUAUGUUUUGAUACUCGCUUAUCUUCUACGAAUUAUGUAGUGCUAUUUGGUUAUGGAGUUUUCUCUGUUUGCUUACUAUAUCAGCUCUUCUUC
rnacentral:lncRNA from 1 species